rnacentral:rRNA from 1 species
CUGCGGCAGCGACACUCAGGUGUUGUUGGGUAGGGGAGCGUUCUGUAAGCCUGUGAAGGUGUGUCGUGAGGCAUGCUGGAGGUAUCAGAAGUGCGAAUGCUGACAUAAGUAACGAUAAAGCGGGUGAAAAGCCCGCUCGCCGGAAGACCAAGGGUUCCUGUCCAACGUUAAUCGGGGCAGGGUGAGUCGACCCCUAAGGCGAGGCCGAAAGGCGUAGUCGAUGGGAAACAGGUUAAUAUUCCUGUACUUGGUGUUACUGCGAAGGGGGGACGGAGAAGGCUAUGUUGGCCGGGCGACGGUUGUCCCGGUUUAAGCGUGUAGGUGUGUGUUCCAGGUAAAUCCGGUUCACUUUAACACUGAGGCGUGACGACGAGGCACUACGGUGCUGAAGCAACAAAUGCCCUGCUUCCAGGAAAAGCCUCUAAGCAUCAGGUAACAUCAAAUCGUACCCCAAACCGACACAGGUGGUCAGGUAGAGAAUACCAAGGCGCUUGAGAGAACUCGGGUGAAGGAACUAGGCAAAAUGGUGCCGUAACUUCGGGAGAAGGCACGCUGACACGUAGGUGAAGUGAUUUACUCAUGGAGCUGAAGUCAGUCGAAGAUACCAGCUGGCUGCAACUGUUUAUUAAAAACACAGCACUGUGCAAACACGAAAGUGGACGUAUACGGUGUGACGCCUGCCCGGUGCCGGAAGGUUAAUUGAUGGGGUCAGCGCAAGCGAAGCUCCUGAUCGAAGCCCCGGUAAACGGCGGCCGUAACUAUAACGGUCCUAAGGUAGCGAAAUUCCUUGUCGGGUAAGUUCCGACCUGCACGAAUGGCGUAAUGAUGGCCAGGCUGUCUCCACCCGAGACUCAGUGAAAUUGAACUCGCUGUGAAGAUGCAGUGUACCCGCGGCAAGACGGAAAGACCCCGUGAACCUUUACUAUAGCUUGACACUGAACAUUGAGCCUUGAUGUGUAG